GACGAACGCUGGCGGCGUGCUUAACACAUGCAAGUCGAACGGAAAGGCCCUGCUUUUGUGGGGUGCUCGAGUGGCGAACGGGUGAGUAACACGUGAGUAACCUGUCCUUGACUUUGGGAUAACUUCAGGAAACUGGGGCUAAUACCGGAUAGGAGCUCCUGCUGCAUGGUGGGGGUUGGAAAGUUUCGGCGGUUGGGGAUGGACUCGCGGCCUAUCAGCUUGUUGGUGGGGUAGUGGCUUACCAAGGCUUUGACGGGUAGCCGGCCUGAGAGGGGGACCGGCCACAUUGGGACUGAGAUACGGCCCAGACUACUACCAGACGCAGCGGUGGGGAAUAUUGCACAAUAGGAGGGAGCCUGAUGCAGCAACGCCGCGUGCGGGAUGACGGGCUUCGGGUUGUGAACCGAUUUCGCCUGUGACGAGGCGAGAGUGACGGUAAUGGGUAAAGAAGCACCGGCUAACUACGUG
rnacentral:rRNA from 1 species